rnacentral:rRNA from 1 species
CAGCACCUCAAGUGGUCAGGAUGAUUAUUGGGCCUAAAGCAUCCGUAGCCGGCUCUGUAAGUUUUCGGUUAAAUCUGUACGCUCAACAUACAGGCUGCCGGGAAUACUGCAGAGCUAGGGAGUGGGAGAGGUAGACGGUACUCGGUAGGAAGGGGUAAAAUCCUUUGAUCUAUUGAUGACCACCUGUGGCGAAGGCGGUCUACCAGAACACGUCCGACGGUGAGGAACGAAAGCGUGGGGAGCGAACAGGAUUAGAUACCCUGGUAGUCC